rnacentral:lncRNA from 1 species
CUCGGAGCCAAGCCAAUUACCGUUCCAACACUCACACCUGCUACUCAAGCUAGAGGAUACCUGGGCAAAGGGCUGUAAACCCAGAUUGAUUUCCUGCUCUGGUUCUUGUUGAAGAAUAAAGAUACCAUGAUUUAGAGGAUCCUUAUUAUAUACGAGAUUCAAUUAGACUUAACCGGAGUUUCAAUUGUCACUAAUGCGCGCUCAGAUCCAGCUCCUGUUCUUGUUAGAGUGGAACAGUAGUUCUCAAGUCAGUAGUUUAGUAGUCCAGUGCCCAAACCCAUGUUUUGGUUCACUUUAGAAUUAGCAGCUGACCUCUUUGACUUUAACCAACACCCAGACCGGACCGGACUGAUUGAACUCCUUUUCAGAUACCCGACCUAAACU